rnacentral:rRNA from 2 species
AUGGUCAAGCUACAAAGAGCGCAAGGGGAAUGCCUUGGCACUGGGAGCCGAAGAAGGACGCAGCAAACUGCGAAAAGCCACGGGGAGCCGUAAGCAGGCAUUGAUCCGUGGGUAUCCGAAUGGAGCAAUCCGGCUGGAGUCAUGUCCAGUCAACGUUAACUGAAUGCAUAGGUUAACGUGGGGAACCGCCUGAACUGAAACAUCUAAGUAGGGCGAGGAAGAGAAAUCAAACGAGAUUCCGCAAGUAGUGGCGAGCGAACGCGGAAGAGGCCAAACCAGAGGUAGCAAUACCUCUGGGGUUCGGACAGCGAGAAAGUAUGGCAGAGGAUAGCAGAAUGGCAUGGGAAGGCCAACGAGAGAGUGUGAGAGUCACGUAUGCGAAAUCCGAAGCUGGCGAGCUGGAUCCAGAGUACCGCCGGACACGUGGAACCCGGUGGGAAGACGGGGGGACCACCCUCCAAGCCUAAAUACUACCCAGUGACCGAUAGAGGAAAGUACUGUGAAGGAAAGGUGAAAAGAACCCCGGGAGGGGAGUGAAAGAGAACCUGAAACCUUGUGCUUACAAGCACCGAGAGCCCAUCCAAGGGUGAUCGGGUACCUUUUGUAGAAUGGUCCGGCGAGUGAAUGUGGCUGGCAAGGUUAAGGACUGAAGGUCCGGAGCCGAAGCGAGAGCGAGUCUGAAGAGGGCGUACAGAGUCAGUCAUAUUCGACCCGAAACCGGGUGACCUACCCAUGUCCAGGUUGAAGUGGAGGUAAAACUCCAUGGAGGACCGAACCGACUCCCGUUGAAAUGGUAGCGGAUGAGGUGUGGGUAGCGGAGAAAUUCCAAUCGAACCCGGAGAUAGCUGGUUCUCUCCGAAAUAGCUUUAGGGCUAGCCUCGUAUUAGAUUACUGGAGGUAAAGCACUGAAUGGGCUAGGGGCCGAAAGGUUACUGAACCCUAUCAAACUCAGAAUGCCAGAUAAUUGAUGUACGGGAGUCAGACAGUGUGAGAUAAGUUUCAUUGUCGAAAGGGAAACAGCCCAGACCCACAGCUAAGGUCCCAAAAUAUGGUUAAGUGGAAAAGGAUGUGGGGUUGCAAAGACAACCAGGAUGUUGGCUUAGAAGCAGCCACUCAUUAAAAGAGUGCGUAAUAGCUCACUGGUCGAGUGACCCUGCGCCGAAAAUUCAACGGGGCUAAAUCAUAUACCGAAGCUUGGGAUUCCGAAAGGGAUGGUAGGAGAGCGUUGUGUAAGGGGUGAAGUCAUAGCGGAAGCGGUGGUGGACUUUACACAAG